GACGAACGCUGGCGGCGUGCUUAACACAUGCAAGUCGAGCGGUAAGGCCCUUUUGGGGGUACACGAGCGGCGAACGGGUGAGUAACACGUGGGUGACCUGCCUUCAGCUUCGGGAUAAGCUUGGGAAACUGGGUCUAAUACCGGAUAUGACUUGGCCUCGCAUGGGGUUGGGUGGAAAGUUUUUUCGGCUGGAGAUGGGCCCGCGGCCUAUCAGCUUGUUGGUGGGGUGAUGGCCUACCAAGGCGACGACGGGUAGCCGGCCUGAGAGGGCGACCGGCCACACUGGGACUGAGAUACGGCCCAGACUCCUACGGGAGGCAGCAGGUGGGAAUCUUGCGCAAUGGGCGGAAGCCUGACGCAGCGACGCCGCGU
rnacentral:rRNA from 1 species